UACGUACAGGAGCGAAUUGAAAAGAAAGGAUGGCAGCUCCACCGGCUAGGGCUCGAGCGGACUAAGAUUAUCUUAUAAAGUUGCUCCUCAUUGGCGACAUCGGUUUGCUUUGCAACAUGCUUUGAUCCUAAUAAUAUUUUUGCUGAACUUCAAGCAAAAGAAGAAGGAUUUUGAGCCUAAAGUAUACAUCUGUUGAUAUAGUUUAUUGUGAGGUGAAAGAUGAUAAUCU